GCUUGCUCCGCUGACGAGUGGCGAACGGGUGAGUAAUAUAUCGGAACGUACCCAAGAGUGGGGGAUAACGUAGCGAAAGUUACGCUAAUACCGCAUACGAUCUAUGGAUGAAAGCAGGGGACCUUCGGGCCUUGUGCUCCUGGAGCGGCCGAUAUCUGAUUAGCUAGUUGGUGAGGUAAAGGCUCACCAAGGCGACGAUCAGUAGCUGGUCUGAGAGGACGACCAGCCACACUGGAACUGAGACACGGUCCAGACUCCUACGGGAGGCAGCAGUGGGGAAUUUUGGACAAUGGGCGCAAGCCUGAUCCAGCAAUGCCGCGUGAGUGAAGAAGGCCUUCGGGUUGUAAAGCUCUUUUGUCAGGGAAGAAACGGCUGUGGCUAAUAUCCACGGCUAAUGACGGUACCUGAAGAAUAAGCACCGGCUAACUACGUGCCAGCAGCCGCGGUAAUACGUAGGGUGCAAGCGUUAAUCGGAAUUACUGGGCGUAAAGCGUGCGCAGGCGGUUUUGUAAGUCUGACGUGAAAUCCCCGGGCUCAACCUGGGAAUUGCGUUGGAGACUGCAAGGCUAGAAUCUGGCAGAGGGGGGUAGAAUUCCACGUGUAGCAGUGAAAUGCGUAGAGAUGUGGAGGAACACCGAUGGCGAAGGCAGCCCCCUGGGUCAAGAUUGACGCUCAUGCACGAAAGCGUGGGGAGCAAACAGGAUUAGAUACCCUGGUAGUCCACGCCCUAAACGAUGUCUACUAGUUGUCGGGUUUUAAUUAACUUGGUAACGCAGCUAACGCGUGAAGUAGACCGCCUGGGGAGUACGGUCGCAAGAUUAGAACUCACAGGAAUUGACGGGGACCCGCACAAGCGGUGGAUGAUGUGGAUUAAUUCGAUGCAACGCGAAAAACCUUACCUACCCUUGACAUGUACGGAAGGCCGGAGAGAUUUGGCUGUGCUCGAAAGAGAACCGUAACACAGGUGCUGCAUGGCUGUCGUCAGCUCGUGUCGUGAGAUGUUGGGUUAAGUCCCGCAACGAGCGCAACCCUUGUCAUUAGUUGCUACAUUCAGUUGAGCACUCUAAUGAGACUGCCGGUGACAAACCGGAGGAAGGUGGGGAUGACGUCAAGUCCUCAUGGCCCUUAUGGGUAGGGCUUCACACGUCAUACAAUGGUACAUACAGAGGGCCGCCAACCCGCGAGGGGGAGCUAAUCCCAGAAAGUGUAUCGUAGUCCGGAU
rnacentral:rRNA from 1 species